AAGCGAAAAGGAUGCUGAUGAAGAUGCAGAGGACAAACCAGUAGAAGAACCCAAAAAAAAGAAAGAAACAAAAGGUCGAAAAACCAAGGCAAGAAAGCACAGGCCAAAGAGGAAGUUGAUGAUGAUGAAGAGGUAAAAGAAGAAGAACCAGCGUCUAAGAAAAGAAAAAAUAAAUAAGAAAGAAGAUAAAGUAAAAGAAUCAAAAGAAGAUGAUGCGAUGGAAGAUGAUGUUCCUGAAUACAAGCCUGUGAAAGGCAGGCGAGGUCAGAAGAAA